rnacentral:rRNA from 1 species
GCGGCUACUGCUAUCAGGUUUCGACUAAGCCAUGCGAGUCAAGGGGUCGUAAGACACCGGCGUACUGCUCAGUAACACGCGGACAAUCUACCCCCAGGUGGAGGAUAACCUCGGGAAACUGAGGCUAAUACCCCAUAGUUGUCAUGUGCUGGAAUGCUUUGACGAUGAAAGAAUUUCGCCUGAGGAUGAGUCUGCGGCCUAUCAGGUAGUAUGUGGUGUAAAGGACCACAUAGCCUAAGACGGGUACGGGCCUUGAAAGAGGGAGCCCGGAGAUGGACUCUGAGACACUAGUCCAGGCCCUACGGGGCGCAGCAGGCGCGAAAACUGUGCAAUGCGCGCAAGCGCGACACGGGAAGCCUGAGUGCCCUAACUAUGUUAAGGCUUUUCUUGAUCCUAAAAAGCUCAAGGAAUAAGAGCUGGGUAAGACGGGUGCCAGCCGCCGCGGUAACACCCGCGGCUCGAGUGCUAGUCACUUUUAUUGAGCCUAAAGCGUUUGUAGCCGGAUUUGUAAAUCUCUAGGAAAAUACUUCUGCUUAACUGAAGAAAUUUUGGAGAGACUGCAAAUCUAGGGACCGGGUGAGGUUGAAUGUACUUCUGGGGUAGGGGUAAAAUCCUGUAAUCCUGGAAGGACGACCGGUGGCGAAGGCGUUCAACUAGAACGGAUCCGACGGUGAGGAACGAAGGCUAGGGGAGCAAACCGGAUUAGAUACCCGGGUAGUCCUAGCUGUAAACACUGCCCACUUGGUGUUGCAUCUCCGGUAAGGGGGUGCAGUGCCGUAGCGAAGGUGUUAAGUGGGCCGCUUGGGGAGUAUGGUCGCAAGGCUGAAACUUAA